GAUGAACGCUGGCGGCGUGCCUAACACAUGCAAGUCGAGCGAUUUACUUCGGUAAAGAGCGGCGGACGGGUGAGUAACGCGUGGGUAACCUGCCCUGUACACACGGAUAACAUACCGAAAGGUAUGCUAAUACGAGAUAAUAUACUUUUAUCGCAUGGUAGAAGUAUCAAAGCUCCGGCGGUACAGGAUGGACCCGCGUCUGAUUAGCUAGUUGGUAAGGUAACGGCUUACCAAGGCGACGAUCAGUAGCCGACCUGAGAGGGUGAUCGGCCACAUUGGAACUGAGACACGGUCCAAACUCCUACGGGAGGCAGCAGUGGGGAAUAUUGCACAAUGGGCGAAAGCCUGAUGCAGCAACGCCGCGUGAGCGAUGAAGGCCUUCGGUCGUAAAGCUCUGUCCUCAAGAAGAUAAUGACGUACUUGAGGAGGAAGCCCGGCUAACUACGUG
rnacentral:rRNA from 1 species